rnacentral:lncRNA from 1 species
CACUGGUACUUUUUAGCAGAAGUAUUACAGUUUAGAACAAAAAGAUGAAAGAAAAAUUUGAUUGGGUUUGAGCUACUGGAUAUAAUGGCUUUUUGUUAGAAAGCAAACUGAUAAUCCAGGCAAGAGAUGAUGAAGUUCUGAACUCAGUUCUGGCAAUGGAAAUCAAAAGGAAGAGACAAGUGAGAGAGGUCUAUAGGUUGAGUCUACAGGUUAUAGCAAACGCUUUAAUAAGAUGAUGAAGCAAUAUAAGUUGGUGAGAUAAAGUUGUCAUUAACUGAAUAAGAAACUCAACAGAAAGGACCUAUUGAUGAAAUGAUGAUUUCUCUUGGGGAUAUGUUAACUACAUAAAGACAUAUCAGAGCUCCUGGGCAUUGCUAUCCACUUCUGGCCCAAGCAAAAAUGACAGAUGAGUUUUCUCUCUCUGACCACAAAACAACAGAUAUAUCAGGCUUUGGGCCAUGUAUUUUGUCCUCACUGUGCUUUCUUAAAGGAUCCAUAUGCUUUGUUCAAGUUCAAAGCCCGGGGUAGUUCUCAUUCUCUUAACAUCUCUUUCCCGUCCUCAUGUACCAAUUUUGAUUCUGUGAUUGAUUCAUUCAAAGAACUUGAAAAAGCUAAAAUGAUCUGUUAAUUUAUUUUCACUCAUCUCUUACACACAUACACAAACACACACGUGAAUUCGUGUGUGUAUGCGUGUGUGUGUGUGUGUGUGUGUGUGUAAAAGAUGGGGAAUUCUAAGAGACACAAACCAUCAACCCAAAAGAACAGGUGAGGGCCACAGAAUAUAGAUACUGCCUUUUGAUUUGAGUUGUAUGAAAGCUCUAAUCCAGAAAGAUUAUGCCACAAGUGACAGGGAAAUCUAAUAUUCCUUUGGAGUUCAGCAAAGAAUCAAGUUUACUAUUUCUCUCAGUGUGUUUCCAUUUUUUUAGUUUGAAGGAGCCACAGCACAUUGCAGUAAUUCUCACUUCAUCUAUGUGUUUUCCCCAUAAGCUGAGGGUCCAUACUGAUGCUGCCAUCCCUCAUGAACAAAUAUGAGUAAUGUCUCUUUAAUAUCUUUAAAUGGUAAGGAAUGAAGGAGCUAAUAAUCUGCAAUUUUCACUUUAUUUGAAAUUUAUCCCAAAACACAUUUACUUAACAUGAUAUAUUUCCCAGAAUAUAUACAAUUUAGUCUCUCAAUGAACUAUUUUACAAGUUACUAAAAGCUCAUGAUUUUUACAAAUAAAAAAUCUAUAAUAAAUAAGAUAAUAUAGCAAUUCAUAUAUUUAGCUAAUAAAGCAGAGCAAGAAAAUAUAAAUAUCAUAGAAAGUGAUUAAGUAGGAGAAAUAAAACUAUACUUCCUGAUAGAAAAUUUAUAUAGCAAUACCAAAAAAUUAAGUGAAGAAUUUAUGUUUGAUAUCCUCCUCUGUAUCUUUUCAAAUGAUGGAUGUGUGAAAAUCAAAGAAAGUCAAAAAAGAAGUCAAACAAAUGGAUACUAAAUUCAGUAAAGCAGACUAUCUUUAAACAUAACUAUGCACGAAUUUUGCUUGAAAAUCCACUUCUGCUGUGAACAGUGCCCAGGCUUAUUUUCUUUUUGUUAAUAGUUUUUUGUUUGUUUGUUUUGAUUUACAACAGGCCCAUAGCACAAACAGCUUUAUCCAGGUAGUAGCAUUUGAUGAGUUGAUCCCUAAGUAAGACCAAUUUUAUUUUUGAAUUCCCAAAACCAAUCUUCCUUUUCCUUUUCUGGUUUGUGAUUCCCCAGCUAUCUAUGUUAUCUAUGUUAUGUCAGUUGAAUCGAUUACAGACUACUUCCCUUAGUAAAGCACAAUCCCCGUACUCUUAGGUUCAGUUUUAAUCUUGUUCCUCUUACCCAAGUUUUUUUUUUUUUAAUCAAAAACAAUAAAGAAUUAACUGGAAGCCAAUCACUAGAAAAUAUGUUGAUUUGCUCCACAAAAUAUCAUGAAACAGGAAAUAAUUAUGCAGUUUUUGCUAAAAGGCAUUCCUCUAUUUCAAGGAAGAACCGUUUUCUUGUGAAUAAAAAAACAAAACUACUUUUGACUUAUAGGUCAGAAAAUCAAAUUUAUUGUAUUUCAACAGAAAGAAAAUAUGAAUAAUUUUUUCCUUAAUAUAUUCCAAAGUCC